GAGGAAAAAGGUUCGUCAUAAUAAAACAGAUGAUCAACACGCCGAACCGAGUUGUGGGAGCUGUAAGGAGGAGGAGGAGAAAGAAGAAGAAAUAUACGUUUAGACGUCAGUUUCACCCUCAGGUCAUCAGGUCAGGUGGGUAUGUGCGUAUCGUACGCGCGCGCGGGUACAGGAGGAGGAGGGGAGAGGGGAAGGAGAAGGAGGAGGAGGAGGAGGACAAGGGAGGUACGACGGCGACGACGAGGGCCGUGGAGGAAAAGGUACGGCCGCGGUUGAUAAGGUGGAGCGAGCGGCUGUACGAGGUCCAGGUCCGGCCGCUGCAGUGGCUGCCGGAGUCCGCGAUGGACCGCGCGAAGCCGAUGCGCAGGCAGGGACUGCUGCGGCUGCCGGUCGAGCACCACUCCGAGAUGGUCAGGUGGGAGCCGGAGGGGCAGUGGCCGGCGGAGCUGUUGGCGUGGGAGCUGGAGGAGCGGUGGGGCGCGACGCCGCAGGGCCUGGACGUGGAGGUUGGCUUGCGGUGGCGGGCGAAGCGGAAGAAGCUCCCGGUCGGCGCGACCCGCGCGGGCGGCCCGGUGAAGGACGAGUGGAUGAUCCGAUCCGACCAACAUUACUCCUCAUAGUAUAUGACUAUAGUACAUAUACUAUGAUCACAUACUAUGAUGGAGGGAUUACGUAUCGUAGUAUAUAAUCAUAGUAUAUUAUAAAAUAAAUAACGGUACGUACUGUGUUUCAUCGUAUUGUAAAUAAUACUAUACCAUAGUACUAUACUAUGAUGUGGAAAAGAAAGAAGUAAAUUUCGAUACGAUAGAGUAGUUUUAACAGAUCAACCGUACAUACUAUGAUCAAUACUAUGAUAGUAAUGCUGGUCGGAUAGAUCACAGAGGCUCCAAAGUCCGAAAUGAUCGACCGUACCGUAGUAAGAUACCUAUCCAUGCAUGAGGAUCUACAACUCUUUAAGAUACACAUCGGACACACAGAUAUAUACUACUACUUAAACACUCUCUUUCUUUCUUCCCUGCUCAGUUCUAACCCCACCCACCCUGUGACCCUGCCCCCAGUAUAACUAACGGAGCUCGGGAGGUUACGUUGACAUCAUUGCUCAAGGGAAAGACAAACGACUCUUUCAACCGAGUGGAGUUCUACCAUGAUAAAAUAGAACAAAACAAAACCGAAAAUACUUUGUUGUUUUCAUGCUCCCUUGUUCGACGCCUUUCUCCGACUCAAACAAACCGAUUUGGACACAGACAGACCAGACCAGACCACUCCAUUCCAUAGAAUCUAUCUAUAUUCCCACCACCCCUCCAUGGUACGUAUAGAUUUUCCAAUUAACAUACUACUUCGAUUUCAUGAGGGAAGCAAGGUAUUACGAAACCUAGUUUAAACCUUGACGUCUUUCUUCGAAUCCAGCAAGGGAGUUGAAGAUUCAGAUAGAUCUUUGAAUUAUAACAUGGGCAUAUAAUGUACCCUAUAUAUUCCCACUACCAACCCUGUAACACAUUUUUUUCUCUCUCCUCCUUAAUCUCCAGUUGUUACUUUCCUUGUAUUUCACCCUGUGAAUAACCACAUGAACAAUCACUUUAUUUCGUUUAGGGGUGUCUUAGUCGACAGUCCCAACUCCGCACAGGCAGGUUUAUUCUGGCUAGCUGGUAGGUAGCCGAAGUCUUUCUAUCACGAUUCUAUGCAUAAUCGAUCUCCUCAUAUAUAAAGCUAAAGUCACACGUCUGUGGUAUCACUACGACUACUACUGUCACUACAGCAGACGUCACGUCGUAGUAGAGAGUUGGCCUACGCCUGAGUGCGUCGCGUCCACCGUUGCUUGAUACCCUCGUCUCGUCUCCUCUCCUGUCCGCAUUCAAGGUUCGGGUAAAGAAGAAAAGAAGGAGAAGAAGAGGUGCCGCCCGCCGUUGAGGAGGAACUGCCAGUGGCUGUACGAGGCCCUGCCGCUGCCGCGGUUCCAACCCGAACCUGCCCGGUACGAUUAACAGACCCCUCAUCUAACGAAACACACACGACUCUUUCGUUCAAAAAUCGACUUACUUCUGGUUCCUCUACUUCUCGUCCCAUCCUUCCUCAUCCUGUGUAGGUAUGAGGUUUCUGGUUUCUCUCCUCUGGUCCGUAGUCGAAGUAUCCCGACCCGUCCGCCGUGUUUACGGCGAAACCAGACGACUACCUACAACAGACGGACGUCGUAGAGAAUUAGCCUACGUACUAACUAGCUCCCGCGUCGCGUCCAGUCGUCCACGGUCCUUUUUUUUCUAUCUACCGUGUCGUCCACCGGUGGUUCGAGUUCGAGUUUCACUUUCGAGGCAGACUCUUCUCCUCUCCUGUGCGUCGUUCGAGGUUAGUUGCCUGUGGGGUACAGGUAUAAGAGAACGAGGAAAAGGGUUCGUAAUAAUAAACAGAUGACCAAACACGCCGAACCGGGUUGUGUUCAUCUGGGAGCUGAGCUGUAAGGAGGAGGAAGAGGAGAAGAAAUAUACGUUUAGACGUCAGUUUCACCCUCAGGCCGGUCAGGUGGGUAUGUGCGUGCGUACGCGCGCGCGGGUACAGGAGGAGGAGACGAGAGGGGGAGGGGGAGGGGAAGAAGAAGAACGUGGAGGAGGAGGAGGACAAAGGCGGUACGACGUGGCCGACGAGGGCGGUGGAGGAGGAGGUGCGGCCGCGGUUGAGGAGGAGGAGGAGGAGAGAGCGCCUGUACGAGGUCCAGGUCCGGCCGCUGCCGCGGUUGCAGUGGCUGCCGGAGUCCGCGAUGGAGCGCGCGAAGCCGAUGCGGAGGCAGGGACUGCUGCGGCUGCCGGUCGAGCACCACUCCGAGAUGGUCAGGUGGGAGCCGGAGGGGCAGUGGCCGGCGGAGCUGUUGGCGUGGGAGCUGGAGGAGCGGUGGGGCGCGACGCCGCAGGGCCUGGACGUGGAGGUUGGCUUGCGGUGGCGGGCGAAGCGGAAGAAGCUCCCGGUCGGCGCGACCCGCGCGGUCGGCCCGGUGAAGGACGAGUGGAUGCGGCAGCAGAGGAGGAGCGGCGGGAUGGUCGGCGAGGGGGAGGGCGCGUUCCGGCACGCGUCCCGGAAGGCGGCGCGGAAGCGCGCGACCCGCGCGCAGUAGGGCCACGCCAAGGCGCUCUGCGCGCUGAUGUUGUACCGCCUGCACGCGCACCCCAAGGAGCGGCCGCUGGUGCCGCUGCCGCUCGGGAAGCUGCCCGGGGAGCCGCACGAGCCGGUGCGGAAGAGGGGCGGGUCGCCGGUCGACGUGGAGCUGCGGCGGCUCGCGACCCGGCAGCCUCUGUACCGGCUGCGCCUGCGGCCGCGGCACCUGGAGCUCAGCCACCGGUGCGUGCUCUAGCCGGUGCAAGAACCGGACCGCGUGAGCAGGCAGGGCCUGCGGUAGUACAUGGGCUCGGAGUUCGGCGCCUGGUCCUUCUGCCUCGACUGGGACCUGCUGCAGGCGCCGCACGUCCGCGAGAUGCCGAGGUUGGGCGCCAAGUCGGAGUCGAGGGAGAGUCUCGGGCUGUGGAGGAGGCGGAGGGGGCGCCGCCGGAUGUGGUUAUGGUCCAGCGGGCCCUUCUGCUGCUGCCGCUGCCGGUAGGGCGAGGAUAACGAGCAGCGGUAGUGUGAGGAGACGAUCGAACUAAUUCGAGACGAUCGGACGAUCCAUCUAUGUAUAGUAUGCGAUGACAUCUGUACUCACGUACUGUGCAGCAUUAAUUAAACACUCUGACUAGCUAGCCGGUCCUAAAAUAGUCCACCCAGCUAGCUCAAAGAGUACACAAAAGAAGCCCGGCCACCCCACCAAAUCUAACGAAACUUAACUUCUUCGUUAAAUAAGGCUAACCUAUAUAAAUAUGUUGUUCUUCCCCUUUCUCUUUACUCUUUCGUGUUCAAUUCUUCGUACAGCACCAUGAUGAAACAACAAAGACUUCGAUUGUCCUGUCUACUCGUUGUAAAAGAAAGAAAGAACUGAACCAACUACCUGUCUAC
rnacentral:rRNA from 1 species